CUUAUUUUCUUUGGCUACCCCAAAAGUCAAUUUGCCUUAUCUUUCUUUUGCUGCAUCUGAAGUCCAGCAGCUCAUUUUCCUCUUUCUCUACUCCUUUUUCCUCUUUCUUUGUUCUUCUUUAUUCUUCCCUUCUUACACGGUAACAUCUCUCCCUUCCUUUCUCACCGAAAAUUCUAGUUUCUUUAAAGAAGAAAUUAUACAAUUAGCCCUAAGGUUUCAUCUUCAAAGUGUGUGGGUGGUGAGAACGAGAACACGGACACUUGAGCUCCUCGUAUACAAUCUCUCGCGCCUUCUGUUUUCAGGCCCAUGGAGCUUCAAAACCUUACUGGGCUUCGUAGCUCGCCCUAUUAUAUUUCAGUGCACAGGUUUUUCUUGGAAGCAGCGAGAGUAUUAGAGGUGGCAAGGAUUUUGUGUUUUCUUGUUUGUUAGAAUGUAGAGUUUUGUUGUAUAGCAGUUAGCUCUUUUCUUGUAUAGAAGGAAUCGAGAUGUACUUGAUCCUUUGGACACAGAUGUAAUUUGGUACCUUAGUUUGUUUUGAACCUCAGUUGUAUGUCUUUGGGGUUAGGUUUGUAAUAAGAGUUUUGCUAAACGUUUAGUUAUGUAAUAUUUACACGUACACCUUAAGUUUCAGCCAGGUGGUAAUUUUCCAAGUUCGAAGAAAAUCAAAUUCAAGGUUUCCAUCA